AUGUCUUUCCCUCACCUGAGCUCCAUAGGCCGCCUAGUCGAGGGCAUCGUGAGCUUGGGCAACACCGAAUGGCUUGAGUUUUGCAUAUCCCUGCCACCCACCGAGCCGCUGGGCAGAGCCAUCGAGAUUGGGCAGGAGUUCAUGGCCUUCUCCCGUGCCUACCCAGUCGCCUUCUCAUGGCUCACGACGCUUACGCUCGAAUAUCAUGAUUUUGGACAUUCGGGCAUCACUGACCUCAUUCGCACUUGCGGUAGGCUCAGGCACCUCAAGCUGAGAGUCUGCAGACUGCUUGACCUGCACUCCACGCUCAAGAUUGAUGUGUCGUGCUCUCAGCUCCAGGAGCUCGAGUUCAUCGGAUUUGGAUGCACGCGGAUCAAGCUCGUCUCUGUCCCGAAGCUUAGGCAAGUGGAGUGCUAUCGUUGGCUCUUCAAGAACACUCCAGUGCGCUUCGGCUACGUUCCUGAGCUUCGCGGUUUAGUACUCUCUUCUAAAGCUAAGGCAUGGCAAGAGCCAUUCGCACUGAGCGAGUGCCUGUCAACGAGUACCGUUGCCAGGAACCUGUCAAAACUGACUCUGUGUUUUGGGUACCAAAUGAUUUGGAUUCAGCCAGAAUCUCCGAAGCAGCUUGUUGUUAUGUUCAGAAACCUGACCUCUGUGCGUCUUUUCCGUAUCAUCAGUGAGUGUGAUCUGAGCUGGACACUGUUUAUCCUUGAAGCUGCACCGGCCCUACAAGAUAUGACAUUAUCUCGACAUUCAUGUGUGAAGACGCCCGAGAAGAGUGCCGAGAAGACCAACGUGGUGUGGGAACCAUCCAAGGAUUUAAAGCACCUGAACUUGAAGGUGCUGCAGAUCUACGGGUGCGAGGAUGAAGACAAGGUGAGAAACUAUAUAAGGCUUGUCAUGGAACGAGCUGUGGGGCUUUUUAUAAUCCAGUUGUAUGGUGAAAGCCCAUGCAUGUACUGCGAUGCCACCAACCUUGAAAGAUCAGACGCGGAAAAAACUAGCAGGCGUUGGAUUAAGGAGCAACUCACAUAUGGAUCAUCCUCAUCUGUGGAGAUAAUUAUUUGUUGA
rnacentral:rRNA from 1 species